AGAGUUUGAUCCUGGCUCAGGACGAACGCUGGCGGCGUGCCUAAUACAUGCAAGUAGAACGCUGAAGGAGGAGCUUGCUUCUCUGGAUGAGUUGCGAACGGGUGAGUAACGCGUAGGUAACCUGCCUGGUAGCGGGGGAUAACUAUUNUGUGCAGUUUAGGAGCUAAAGGGAACAGAAUGGAGAAAAUGGAACAAAUGUGUUUUCUAAUCUGUUAGACUGUAUCUAGAAAGGGGAAAAUUAUGAUUAAAGAAUUGUAUGAAGAAGUCCAAGGGACUGUGUAUAAGUGUAGAAAUGAAUAUUACCUUCAUUUAUGGGAAUUGUCGGAUUGGGACCAAGAAGGCAUGCUCUGCUUACAUGAAUUGAUUAGUAGAGAAGAAGGACUGGUAGACGAUAUUCCACGUUUAAGGAAAUAUUUCAAAACCAAGUUUCGAAAUCGAAUUUUAGACUAUAUCCGUAAGCAGGAAAGUCAGAAGCGUAGAUACGAUAAAGAACCCUAUGAAGAAGUGGGUGAGAUCAGUCAUCGUAUAAGUGAGGGGGGUCUCUGGCUAGAUGAUUAUUAUCUCUUUCAUGAAACACUAAGAGAUUAUAGAAACAAACAAAGUAAAGAGAAACAAGAAGAACUAGAACGCGUCUUAAGCAAUGAACGAUUUCGAGGGCGUCAAAGAGUAUUAAGAGACUUACGCAUUGUGUUUAAGGAGUUUACUAUCCGUACCCAUUAGUAAGUCAUGCAAAAAAAAUGAAAAAAAUUAGAAAAAGUAGUUGACAAAGUUUGAAAAGGCUGUAUAAUAGUAAGAGUUGAAAAUAGCAACUCAGGUCCGUUGGUCAAGGGGUUAAGACACCGCCUUUUCACGGCGGUAACACGGGUUCGAAUCCCGUACGGACUAUGGUAUGUUGCGGUUGGAACACUUGAUGAAAAAAAGUUUAAAAAAACUUAAAAAUCUUCAAAAAAGUGUUGACAAGUGAAAGUGGCUGUGAUAUACUAAUAUAGUUGUCGCUUGAGAGAAGCAAGUGACAAAGACCUUUGAAAACUGAACAAGACGAACCAAUGUGCAGGGCGCUACAACAUAAGUUGUAGUACUGAACAAUGAAAAAACAAUAAAUCUGUCAGUGACAGAAAUGAGUGAGAACUCAAACUUUUAAUGAGAGUUUGAUCCUGGCUCAGGACGAACGCUGGCGGCGUGCCUAAUACAUGCAAGUAGAACGCUGAAGGAGGAGCUUGCUUCUCUGGAUGAGUUGCGAACGGGUGAGUAACGCGUAGGUAACCUGCCUGGUAGCGGGGGAUAACUAUUGGAAACGAUAGCUAAUACCGCAUAAGAGUGGAUGUUGCAUGACAUUUGCUUAAAAGGUGCACUUGCAUCACUACCAGAUGGACCUGCGUUGUAUUAGCUAGUUGGUGGGGUAACGGCUCACCAAGGCGACGAUACAUAGCCGACCUGAGAGGGUGAUCGGCCACACUGGGACUGAGACACGGCCCAGACUCCUACGGGAGGCAGCAGUAGGGAAUCUUCGGCAAUGGACGGAAGUCUGACCGAGCAACGCCGCGUGAGUGAAGAAGGUUUUCGGAUCGUAAAGCUCUGUUGUAAGAGAAGAACGAGUGUGAGAGUGGAAAGUUCACACUGUGACGGUAUCUUACCAGAAAGGGACGGCUAACUACGUGCCAGCAGCCGCGGUAAUACGUAGGUCCCGAGCGUUGUCCGGAUUUAUUGGGCGUAAAGCGAGCGCAGGCGGUUAGAUAAGUCUGAAGUUAAAGGCUGUGGCUUAACCAUAGUAGGCUUUGGAAACUGUUUAACUUGAGUGCAAGAGGGGAGAGUGGAAUUCCAUGUGUAGCGGUGAAAUGCGUAGAUAUAUGGAGGAACACCGGUGGCGAAAGCGGCUCUCUGGCUUGUAACUGACGCUGAGGCUCGAAAGCGUGGGGAGCAAACAGGAUUAGAUACCCUGGUAGUCCACGCUGUAAACGAUGAGUGCUAGGUGUUAGACCCUUUCCGGGGUUUAGUGCCGUAGCUAACGCAUUAAGCACUCCGCCUGGGGAGUACGACCGCAAGGUUGAAACUCAAAGGAAUUGACGGGGGCCCGCACAAGCGGUGGAGCAUGUGGUUUAAUUCGAAGCAACGCGAAGAACCUUACCAGGUCUUGACAUCCCUCUGACCGCUCUAGAGAUAGAGCUUUCCUUCGGGACAGAGGUGACAGGUGGUGCAUGGUUGUCGUCAGCUCGUGUCGUGAGAUGUUGGGUUAAGUCCCGCAACGAGCGCAACCCCUAUUGUUAGUUGCCAUCAUUUAGUUGGGCACUCUAGCGAGACUGCCGGUAAUAAACCGGAGGAAGGUGGGGAUGACGUCAAAUCAUCAUGCCCCUUAUGACCUGGGCUACACACGUGCUACAAUGGCUGGUACAACGAGUCGCAAGCCGGUGACGGCAAGCUAAUCUCUUAAAGCCAGUCUCAGUUCGGAUUGUAGGCUGCAACUCGCCUACAUGAAGUCGGAAUCGCUAGUAAUCGCGGAUCAGCACGCCGCGGUGAAUACGUUCCCGGGCCUUGUACACACCGCCCGUCACACCACGAGAGUUUGUAACACCCGAAGUCGGUGAGGUAACCGUAAGGAGCCAGCCGCCUAAGGUGGGAUAGAUGAUUGGGGUGAAGUCGUAACAAGGUAGCCGUAUCGGAAGGUGCGGCUGGAUCACCU
rnacentral:tRNA from 1 species